AGACCUCGCCCAAACUCCUACGGGUACCGGACCUCACUACCGACUCCAACCGAACUUCGGCCGACAAGUCUGGACCCCCUGGCAGGCCACAGUAAUGGACAACACUGCUCCACUCCCUGCGGCGGACCCUACGCAGCUCCAUUACUCCCUGACAGGCCGUAUUAACGGCCACGAUUCUGCUCCACUCCCUGCGGCGGAUCCUGUGCGAUUCCACCACUCCCUGACGAGUCACGACAGUGGACGCCGCUCCACUCCCCG
rnacentral:lncRNA from 1 species